UACAGAGGUCCCGAGCGUUGUUCGGAUUCACUGGGCGUAAAGGGUGCGUAGGUGGUGAGGUAAGUCGGAUGUGAAAGCUCGGAGCUCAACUCCGAAAUGGCAUUGGAAACUACCUUGCUAGAGGGUUGGAGGGGGGACUGGAAUGCUUGGUGUAGCAGUGAAAUGCGUAGAUAUCAAGCGGAACACCAGUGGCGAAGGCGGCUCACUGGCCCGAUACUGACGCUGAGGCACGAAAGCGUGGGGAGCAAACAGG
rnacentral:rRNA from 1 species